rnacentral:rRNA from 1 species
UACGUAGGGGGCAAGCGUUAUCCGGAUUCAUUGGGUUUAAAGGGUGCGUAGGCGGAAUGAUAAGUCAGUGGUGAAAUCCUGCAGCUUAACUGCAGAACUGCCAUUGAUACUGUCAAUCUUGAGUACAUUUGAUGUGGGCGGAAUGUGUCAUGUAGCGGUGAAAUGCUUAGAUAUGACACAGAACACCGAUUGCGAAGGCAGCUCACAAAACUGUAACUGACGCUGAGGCACGAAAGCGUGGGUAUCAAACAGG